AGCUCUUGACAUGGAAGUCGCCGGCUUGAGAGAUCAAGCCCUCGGUUCGGCCGGACUUCGCAC
rnacentral:rRNA from 1 species